rnacentral:pre_miRNA from 7 species
UCUCAGAGUUCCUGGGCGCUGCCAAAUCCAGGACGAGCCCUCAAAAAUGUAAGACCCCCCUUUUGGGGAACCCCACUCUAGUCUCAGGAGUGAGAGAGCACCCAAAGAAACACGAGAAUCC